UACGGAAGGUGCGAGCGUUAAUCGGAUUUACUGGGCGUAAAGCGUGCGUAGGUGGUUGUGUAAGUCGGAUGUGAAAUCCCAGGGCUUAACCUUGGAAUUGCACCCGAAACUACACGACUAGAAUGCGGUAGAGGGAAGUGGAAUUCCAGGUGUAGCGGUGAAAUGCGUAGAUAUCUGGAGGAACACCAAUGGCGAAGGCAGCUUCCUGGGCCUGCAUUGACACUGAGGUACGAAAGCGUGGGGAGCAAACAGG
rnacentral:misc_RNA from 1 species